UACGAAGGGGCUAGCGUUGUUCGGAAUUACUGGGCGUAAAGCGCGCGCAGGCGGUUCUCCAAGUCAGUGGUGAAAGCCCGGAGCUCAACUCCGGAACUGCCAUUGAAACUGUUGAACUUGAGGACGAGAGAGGUGAGUGGAAUUCCCAGUGUAGAGGUGAAAUUCGUAGAUAUUGGGAAGAACACCGGUGGCGAAGGCGGCUCACUGGCUCGUAUCUGACGCUCAGGCGCGAUAGCGUGGGGAUCAAACAGG
rnacentral:rRNA from 1 species